CAAACGGCCCUCCUUAGGGCCACAAACAUGUACGAAACGAAACGA
rfam:Haemonchus contortus, ISE/inbred ISE, WGS project CAVP01000000 data, contig: Hcontortus_34256